rnacentral:tRNA from 1 species
GAUGAGGUGGUCAGGUAGUUAAGGUGAUGGACAGCUAAUCCACUGUGCUCUGCAUAUGUGGGUUCAAAUCCCAUCCUCACUG